UAGGGAAUCUUCGGCAAUGGGGGCAACCCUGACCAAGCAACGCCGCGUGAGUGAAGAAGGUUUUCGGAUCGUAAAGCUCUGUUGUAAGAGAAGAACGUGUGUGAGAGUGGAAAGUUCACACAGUGACGGUAACUUACCAGAAAGGGACGGCUAACUACGUGCCAG
rnacentral:rRNA from 1 species